ensembl:snRNA U6 U6 spliceosomal RNA
AAGACAAAAGGCGGGCUCUCAUACUAAAACUGGGAUGACCAGAGAAGAUCAGCAUGGCCCCUGCACAAGGAUGACAUGUAAAUCUGUGAAGCAUUCCAUUUCUUU